GGAUGCAACUAACUGAAAAUUACAAAGCGAGAUUUGACGUUUCUUGCGAAAGCCCUUCGUGGGAAAAUUAGCAGAGACUACAACUAACUUCCCCCACGAAGGGCCUUCUUUCGAAACGUCGAAUUUCGCUUUGUAUUAUUUUUGUUAGUUGCAUCC